rfam:Anoxybacillus sp. B7M1, complete genome.
CCCAUGCUACAACCGCUCAGCGCAGGUUGGAAGUGUUCGCAUUGGCGAAACGCCUCGUGCUGGCGAGUCUGAGUCUAUGU